rnacentral:rRNA from 1 species
UGAGUGGCAAACGGGUGAGUAUAAUGUGGGAAUCUGCCUUUUGGUUUGGAAUAACACGGGGAAACUUGUGCUAAUACCGAAUAAGCCCUUACGGGGAAAGUUUUAACGCCGAAAGAUGAGCCUGCACUUGAUUAGCUAGUUGGUAAGGUAAAAGCUUACCAAGGCAACGAUCAAUAGCUGUUCUUAGAGGAAGACCAGCCACAUUGGGACUGAGACACGGCCCAGACUCCUACGGGAGGCAGCAGUGGGGAAUCUUGCACAAUGGGGGAAACCCUGAUGCAGCGAUGCCGCGUGAGUGAAGAAGGCCCUUGGGUUGUAAAACUCUUUCGUCGGGGAAGAAAAUGACUGUACCCGAAUAAGAAGGUCCGGCUAACUUCGUGCCAGCAGCCGCGGUAAUACGAAGGGACCUAGCGUAGUUCGGAAUUACUGGGCUUAAAGAGCUCGUAGGUGGUUAAAAAAGUUGAUGGUGAAAUCCCAAGGCUCAACCUUGGAACUGCCAUCAAAACUUUUUAGCUAGAGUGUGAUAGAGGUAAGUGGAAUUUCUAGUGUAGAGGUGAAAUUCGUAGGUAUUAGAAAGAACACCAAAUGCGAAGGCAACUU